GACGAACCGUGCGAACGUUGUUCGGAAUCACUGGGCUUAAAGGGCGCGUAGGCGGGCACUCAAGUCGGUGGUGAAAUACUCCGGCCUAACCGGAGAAGGGCUGUCGAUACUGGGUGCCUCGAGUGGUGCAGGGGUCUGCGGAACUUCCGGUGGAGCGGUGAAAUGCGUAGAGAUCGGAAGGAACGCCGGUGGCGAAGCGGCGGACUGGGCACCUCCUGACGCUGAGGCGCGAAAGCCAGGGGAGCAAAGCGGGGAUUAAGCA
rnacentral:rRNA from 1 species